rnacentral:lncRNA from 1 species
CGGCAAACAAAGGAAUAUGAGGAACAAUAAUCUGUGCCGAAAAGCGGCGUUGCUCUCAGAGGCCGCCCAGCCGCCGAUGGCAGCAGCAGUGCUGUCGCCGCACUUCUCCUGCCCACCCAGCAGCCGCUGAGGUAACCCUCCUGUCAGGGAUACCGUGUCCAGCAUGGGAGGGAAGCUGAAGCGCCCCCAAAUCCUCCAUUUUCAAGGAAUUUGACAGGCACAUGUCAGUAUAUACUGCUGUCUGUGAUCUGUCCCUCAGAGCAAUUUAACCGCCCCCGCCAGAGGCCACAUUUUAAGCCAUAACGGCCGACUUCCACACAGCUCCCCAUGCUAUUUAUGUUCAUCAGCUCCUGAGUUUUGAUUCUUUUGGCUGCCUGUAGCCACUCAAGCAAGCCUUGUAGGAAGAAAAGUCAACUUCAAGUUGUCCAGUUACUAGAAGCAGAGAAGGCCAGACAACUGGAGUUAUGCACACCUAGCAGGAAGACAGUCAAGAAUACUGCAGGUGUCUGCAAGCUACAUAUGGCAUUUUUGGUGGCUGCCCUUGGAUCUCAUGCAAGCCCAGAGAGUGAUUUGAGCUGCCCCUUCCCUCAAGAAAUGCGUGCAUGCGUGCGUGCGUGUGUGUAAUGGAAAUGCUGACAGACCCUUAACUAUAACAGCACGAAAGGCGCCACUAAAAUAACAGUGGAACAGAUGCUGUCACCACUGCCCCUGGUGGGGAAAGAAGAUGAAACAGAAGGGCAUUAGAGUUGGUAGAUGGCAAAUUAAUCCUAUUGUACUAGCAGCUGCAACCACCGAGAUGCUAGCAUUCGUGCUUAGGCACUUCCAGUACACCAAGCUCUAGUAGGGGUGGUUGGAAAGGAUGAGGCAACGAAAG